GUCCCGGCCGUAAACGAUGGAUACUAGGUGUUGCGGGUAUCGACCCCUGCAGUGCCGUAGCUAACGCGAUAAGUAUCCCGCCUGGGGAGUACGCACGCAAGUGUGAAACUCAAAGGAAUUGACGGGGACCCGCACAAGCGGUGGAACAUGUGGUUUAAUUCGAAGCAACGCGAAGAACCUUACCAAGACUUGACAUCUAGAGAACCUUUGUGAAAGCAGAGGGUGCUCUUCGGAGAACUCUAAGACAGGUGGUGCACGGUUGUCGU
rnacentral:rRNA from 1 species